AAUAACUCAACUUUUCAGUUUUUUGAUAUAAUGUUUUGACUCUUAGUCUUAUUUAAAAAAUUUUUUGCGAUUAAUUUUUUUUGUUAUUACUAGAUGAUAAAACAUAAAUAGUAUUUUAUGCGUGAAUAAUUUUUUUAAGUUUUGGUACAAAUUUUUCAAAUAAGACGAAUGGUCAAACGUUAGAAAAAAACAA
rnacentral:pre_miRNA from 1 species